GUACACUCCUGCGGGAGGCAGCAGUGGGGAAUUUUGGACAAUGGGCGAAAGCCUGAUCCAGCAAUGCCGCGUGAGUGAAGAAGGCCUUCGGGUUGUAAAGCUCUUUUGUCAGGGAAGAAACGGUGAAAGCUAAUAUCUUUUGCUAAUGACGGUACCUGAAGAAUAAGCACCGGCUAACUACGUGCCAGCAGCCGCGGUAAUACGUAGGGUGCAAGCGUUAAUCGGAAUUACUGGGCGUAAAGCGUGCGCAGGCGGUUUUGUAAGUCUGAUGUGAAAUCCCCGGGCUCAACCUGGGAAUUGCAUUGGAGACUGCAAGGCUAGAAUCUGGCAGAGGGGGGUAGAAUUCCACGUGUAGCAGUGAAAUGCGUAGAUAUGUGGAGGAACACCGAUGGCGAAGGCAGCCCCCUGGGUCAAGAUUGACGCUCAUGCACGAAAGCGUGGGGAGCAAACAGGAUUAGAUACCCGGGUAGUCCCAUGAU
rnacentral:rRNA from 1 species